UGAGGAAUAUUGGUCAAUGGGGGAAACCCUGAACCAGCGACGCCGCGUGUAGGAUGAAUGAGCUUUGCUCUGUAAACUACUGUCGGAAGGGACGAAAAGCCCCUAAUAGGGGCUGGGACGGUACCUUCAAAGGAAGGGUCGGCUAACUACGUGCCAGCAGCCGCGGUAAUACGUAGGACCCAAGCGUUGUCCGGAUUUACUGGGUGUAAAGGGUGCGCAGGCGGGCUUGUGCGUCAGAGGUUAAAUACCACGGCUUAACCGUGGAACUGCCUUUGAUACGGCAAGUCUUGAGUGCGAGAGAGGAUGGUGGAAUUCCUGGUGUAGCGGUGAAAUGCGUAGAUAUCAGGAGGAACACCUGUGGCGAAGGCGGCCAUCUGGCCCGCAACUGACGCUCAGGCACGAAAGCGUGGGGAGCAAACAG
rnacentral:rRNA from 1 species